GGAGGGUUGCCCGAGUUGGCUGAAGGGGCACGACUGGAAAUCGUGUAUGCGGCCUGAAACCGUAUCCAGGGUUCGAAUCCCUGACCCUCCGCCA
rnacentral:tRNA from 1 species